rnacentral:rRNA from 1 species
UUGGCCUACGGGAGGCAGCAGUAGGGAAUUUUCGGCAAUGGGGGGAACCCUGACCGAGCAACGCCGCGUGAACGAAGAAGUUAUUCGUAAUGUAAAGCUCUUUUAUCAGGGAAGAAAGAGGAAUUUGACGGUACCUGAGGAAUAAGCUCCGGAUAACUACGUGCCAGCAGCCGCGGUAAUACGUAGGGAGCGAGCGUUAUCGGGAAUUAUUGGGCGUAGAGGGUGCGUAGAUGGCAUAGUAAGUCUUUUGUAAAAAUGCUGGGCUCAA